rnacentral:lncRNA from 1 species
AAAAACACAAAGAAAAAGACGAGACACGAGAAAUGGAAGUAAAUUAGGUGGUGAGGUGGGCAGCUCGGGAGAGGUAUCUGUAGCCGAAGAAGAAACCGGCAACAAGGAGAGGAACCAAGAAUUCCAGAAGAGCAGCAUACGUGGGCGUGCUGUCAUUCUUGAUGACGAAAGCGCUCAUUUCUUUGGUCUUUGUUUCCUUGUAGGGAGCAUCCUUAGUGGAUGCUGCACCGUCCUGGAUGUUGUAGCCUUGGAGAACUCCGACCUGGUACUUGAGGAGUAAGUUU